rnacentral:rRNA from 1 species
GACGAACGCUGGCGGCAGGCCUAACACAUGCAAGUCGAACGCCCCGCAAGGGGAGUGGCGCACGGGUGAGUAACGCGUGGGAAUAUGCCCUUCGGUUCGGAAUAACACAGGGAAACUUGUGCUAAUACCGGAUACGAUCUACGGAUGAAAGAUUUAUCGCCGAGGGAGUAGCCCGCGUAGGAUUAGCUAGUUGGUGAGGUAAUGGCUCACCAAGGCGACGAUCCUUAGCUGGUCUGAGAGGAUGAUCAGCCACACUGGGACUGAGACACGGCCCAGACUCCUACGGGAGGCAGCAGUGGGGAAUAUUGGACAAUGGGCGAAAGCCUGAUCCAGCCAUGCCGCGUGAGUGAUGAAGGCCUUAGGGUUGUAAAGCUCUUUCGCCAGGGAAGACAAUGACGGUACCUGGAAAAGAAGCCUCGGCUAACUCCGUGCCAGCAGCCGCCGUAA